rnacentral:rRNA from 1 species
UACAGAGGUCUCGAGCGUUAGGCGGAAUCACUGGGCUUAAAGCGUGUGUAGGUGGAUCGUUAAGUACCUUGUGAAAUCCCACGGCUUAACCGUGGAACUGCUUGGUAUACUGGCGGUCUUGAGUCAGCUAGGGGCUACCGGAACAAAUGGUGGAGCGGUGAAAUGCGUAGAUAUCGGGAGGAACACCUGUGGCGAAAGCGGCUCUCUGGACCACAACUGACGCUGAGGCGCGAAAGCUAGGGGAGCAAACAGG